ensembl:lncRNA
CCAACAUCCUCCCCCAGAUGCACCAACAACCUCCCCCCCAGAUGAACCAACAACCUCCCGAUCAGAUGAAUCAACAACCUCCCCAUCCGAUGAACCAACAACCUCCCCAUCCGAUGAACCAACAACCUCCCCAUCAGAUGAACCAACAACCUCCCCAUCAGAUGAACCAACAACCUCCCCAUCUGAUGAACCAACAACCUCCCCAUCAGAUGAACCAACAACCUCCCCAUCAGAUGAACCAACAACCUCCCCAUCUGAUGAACCAACAACCUCCCCAUCUGACGAACCAACAACCUCCCCAUCUGACGAACCAAGCCCCUUAUCCGGUAAACCAGCCCUCUCCCCAUCAAAUGACUCCGAUGCCUCCACACCCGGUGAGUCAGCCGUCCCCACACACGCCCCCCUCCCCUGGACACAUGCCCAUGAUGGAUCAGCAUGUCCUAGGCCAGCCCGAGGGUCAGCCCCUGCCUCCGAUGUCUAACGCCAUGCGCAGGAACUCUUUCACGCCGCAGACGGACUUUUACGACCAAAGCGCUCACAUGGGUGCCGGGAGAAGAUCGAGAACUUCUUCACAGUCUUCAAUGCACAUGGCCUCCGGCCGCCGCUCCCGGACCACCUCCGAGUCCUCCACCCACUCCGGGGGGCGGGAGCGCAGCAACUCCUCGGCCAUGCAGAUGUCUUCGUCGCCGCCCCCCUCCAUCCCUGAGCAGCCCCGCAUGGAGGACCCUAAGAAGGCCAAGAAGCACUCCCCCAAGAAGGUACCCCCCACCGACCCAUCUCCCUCUCCCCUCCAGCUGAUGGUUUUGGCCCAAUCCCAUUUCUACCCCUUACCCUGCGUUCAC